rnacentral:rRNA from 1 species
CCUACGGGGGGCAGCAGUGGGGAAUAUUGCACAAUGGGGGAAACCCUGAUGCAGCGACGCCGCGUGAGUGAAGAAGUAUUUCGGUACGUAAAGCUCUAUCAGCAGGGAAGAAAAUGACGGUACCUGACUAAGAAGCCCCGGCUAACUACGUGCCAGCAGCCGCGGUAAUACGUAGGGGGCAAGCGUUAUCCGGAUUUACUGGGUGUAAAGGGAGCGUAGACGGCAGCGCAAGUCUGGAGUGUAAUCCCAAGGCUUAACCAUGGAACUGCUUUGGAAACUGUGCAGCUAGAGUGCAGGAGAGGUAAGCGGAAUUCCUAGUGUAGCGGUGAAAUGCGUAGAUAUUAGGAGGAACACCAGUGGCGAAGGCGGCUUACUGGACUGUAACUGACGUUGAGGCUCGAAAGCGUGGGGAGCAAACAGGAUUAGAUACCCUAGUAGUC